GGGAAUGUGGCUUAGUGGUAGAGUGCAUGCCUAGCAUGCAUGAAGCCCUGGGUUCAAUUCCUCAGUACCA
rnacentral:tRNA from 1 species